rnacentral:sRNA from 1 species
UAUCCCAUGGGACAAGCAAAAUCCCAUGGGAUUUUGGUUAAAUCCCAUGGGAUUUUUUUUGUCCCAUGGGAUU